UCAGUUGCGAUCUACUCGGCGUUCCGCGCCGCCGGAUAACCGUAGUAAUUCUAGGGCUAAUACGUGCGAAGCGCCGAAGCCGCGAGGCGACGGGCGUUCUCGCCGGAUGUAGGAACCGACCCGGGGGACCGCCGGGGGCAACCCCGGCGCCCCCGAGACGGGGCGAACCACGGUGAAAUGACGGAUCGUCGGCCCCGCGCCGGCGACUCGCCGAAUGAGUUUCUGACCUAUCAACUCGAGACGGCGGGGUAGAGGCCCGCCGCAGUAACGACGGGUAACGGGGAAUCAGGGUUCGAUUCCGGAGAGGGAGCCCCGAGAAACGGCUACCACUUCCAAGGAAGGCAGCAGGCGCGCAACUUACCCUAAUCUCGAUUCGAGGAGGUAGUGACAAGAAAUACCGAUGCGGGACCCUACGGGUGCCGCGUUCGGAAUGAGUACGAUUCGAACCACCUAACGAGGAACGAUCGGAGGGCAAGUCUGGUGCCAGCAGCCGCGGUAAUUCCAGCUCC
rnacentral:rRNA from 1 species